rnacentral:misc_RNA from 2 species
CCCAACUAUCCCUAUUAAUCAUUACGUUGAUCCUAGAAACCAACAAAAUAGAAUCGAACGUCCUAUUUCAUUAUUCCAUGCUAAUGUAUUCAAGCGCGUGCCUGCUUUAAACACUCUAAUUUUUUCAAAGUAACAGUCCUGAUUCCCCACGACACCAAAUUAAUGACAUCAUGGCUCCUCAGAAAGGAGAAACCAAUAACACCAGUACAUACCAGAGGCAUGACCGACGUAUUGAUCCCGAAAUUCAACUACGAGCUUUUUAACUGCAACAACUUUAAUAUACGCUAUUGGAGCUGGAAUUACCGCGGCUGCUGGCACCAGACUUGCCCUCCAA